GGGCCUGUGGUCCAACGGUUAAGAUAUCAGCCUUACACGCUGAGGAUCGGAGUUCGACUCUCCGCGGGCCCA
rnacentral:tRNA from 1 species